UACGUAGGGUGCAAGCGUUAAUCGGAAUUACUGGGCGUAAAGCGUGCGCAGGCGGUUAUGUAAGACAGGUGUGAAAUCCCCGGGCUUAACCUGGGAACUGCAUUUGUGACUGCAUAGCUAGAGUACGGUAGAGGGGGAUGGAAUUCCGCGUGUAGCAGUGAAAUGCGUAGAUAUGCGGAGGAACACCGAUGGCGAAGGCAAUCCCCUGGACCUGUACUGACGCUCAUGCACGAAAGCGUGGGGAGCAAAUAGG
rnacentral:rRNA from 1 species